rnacentral:ncRNA from 12 species
CGUGAUGGCUUAGACGGUAAAGCGUUGGACUAGUGGUCCAAAGGUCACUGGUUCAAUUCCAGCCA